UACGAGUGGUGCAAGCGUUAUUCGGAAUCAUUGGGCGUAAAGGGUGUGUAGGCGGCAUAUUAAGUCAACUGUUUAAUUCUCCGGCCUAACCGGAGGUCAGCUGUAGAUACUGAUGUGCUUGAGAAUGGAAGAGAGAAGUGGAAUUCUCGGAGUAGCGGUAAAAUGCGUAGAUCUCGAGAGGAACACCAAUGGCGAAGGCAGCUUCUUGGUCCAUUUCUGACGCUGAAACACGAAAGCGUGGGGAGCAAACAGG
rnacentral:rRNA from 1 species